rnacentral:rRNA from 1 species
AGACCCGAAACCCGGUGAUCUAGCCAUGGGCAGGUUGAAGGUUGGGUAACACUAACUGGAGGACCGAACCGACUAAUGUUGAAAAAUUAGCGGAUGACCUGUGGCUGGGGGUGAAAGGCCAAUCAAACCGGGAGAUAGCUGGUUCUCCCCGAAAGCUAUUUAGGUAGCGCCUCGUGAAUUCAUCUCCGGGGGUAGAGCACUGUUUCGGCUAGGGGGCCAUCCCGGCUUACCAACCCGAUGCAAACUGCGAAUACCGGAGAAUGUUAUCACGGGAGACACACGGCGGGUGCUAACGUCCGUCGUGAAGAGGGAAACAACCCAGACCGCCAGCUAAGGUCCCAAAGUCAUGGUUAAGUGGGAAACGAUGUGGGAAGGCCCAGACAGCCAGGAUGUUGGCUUAGAAGCAGCCAUCAUUUAAAGAAAGCGUAAUAGCUCACUGGUCGAGUCGGCCUGCGCGGAAGAUGUAACGGGGCUAAACCAUGCACCGAAGCUGCGGCAGCGACACUCAGGUGUUGUUGGGUAGGGGAGCGUUCUGUAAGCCUGUGAAGGUGGCCUGUGAGGGUUGCUGGAGGUAUCAGAAGUGCGAAUGCUGACAUAAGUAACGAUAAAGCGGGUGAAAAGCCCGCUCGCCGGAAGACCAAGGGUUCCUGUCCAACGUUAAUCGGGGCAGGGUGAGUCGACCCCUAAGGCGAGGCCGAAAGGCGUAGUCGAUGGGAAACGGGUUAAUAUUCCCGUACUUGGUGUUACUGCGAAGGGGGGACGGAGAAGGCUAUGUUGGCCGGGCGACGGUUGUCCCGGUUUAAGCGUGUAGGUGUGUGUUCCAGGUAAAUCCGGUUCACUUUAACACUGAGGCGUGAUGACGAGGCACUACGGUGCUGAAGCAACAAAUGCCCUGCUUCCAGGAAAAGCCUCUAAGCAUCAGGUAACAUCAAAUCGUACCCCAAACCGACACAGGUGGUCAGGUAGAGAAUACCAAGGCGCUUGAGAGAACUCGGGUG